GAAGCCUUGUGCCUKCUAAAAUCCAGGCAAAGGUCAUCCAGACCUGGCCUGGUUCGGCUCCUGCUGCUCUGUGCAUGAGUGGAGGUGCUGGGAGCUGGACUGGCCAAGCAGGCUGAAGAACAAAGUGCCCUGAAGGGCAGCAAGAACAAAGAAAUAGAGUAAAAUGUACUGGUCCCUACCAUCUGCUUCUGCUUGUAAAAUCUAGAAAGUGCCUGACAGAAAAGGCUUCCCUUCCUAUCAAGCUGUUGUGGCAGAACCAAAAAACAUGUUGCUCUGAUCCUAAAUUUGGAAAUUCAGCUGCUGGAUUAAAUCAAGAAGGAACUUCAUUGUGAUGGAGAAAUAA